AUUGAACGCUGGCGGCAUGCUUUACACAUGCAAGUCGAACGGUAACAGGCCUUCGGGUGCUGACGAGUGGCGAACGGGUGAGUAAUGCAUCGGAACGUGCCCAAUCGUGGGGGAUAACGUAGCGAAAGUUACGCUAAUACCGCAUAAGCCCUGAGGGGGAAAGCAGGGGAUCGCAAGACCUUGCGCGAAUGGAGCGGCCGAUGUCAGAUUAGCUAGUUGGUGGGGUAAAGGCCUACCAAGGCGACGAUCUGUAGCGGGUCUGAGAGGAUGAUCCGCCACACUGGGACUGAGACACGGCCCAGACUCCUACGGGAGGCAGCAGUGGGGAAUUUUGGACAAUGGGCGCAAGCCUGAUCCAGCCAUGCCGCGUGCGGGACGAAGGCCUUUUCGG
rnacentral:rRNA from 1 species